rnacentral:rRNA from 1 species
GCAUAUCAAUAAGCGGAGGAAAAGAAACCAACAGGGAUUGCCCUAGUAACGGCGAGUGAAGCGGCAACAGCUCAAAUUUGAAAUCUGGCUCUCGGGCCCGAGUUGUAAUUUGUAGAGGAUGCUUUUGGCAAGGUGCCUUCCGAGUUCCCUGGAACGGGACGCCAUAGAGGGUGAGAGCCCCGUCUGGUUGGACACCGAGCCUCUGUAAAGCUCCUUCGACGAGUCGAGUAGUUUGGGAAUGCUGCUCUAAAUGGGAGGUAUAUGUCUUCUAAAGCUAAAUACUGGCCAGAGACCGAUAGCGCACAAGUAGAGUGAUCGAAAGAUGAAAAGCACUUUGAAAAGAGAGUUAAAAAGCACGUGAAAUUGUUGAAAGGGAAGCGCUUAUGACCAGACUUGGGCUUGGUUGAUCAUCCGGCGUUCUCGCCGGUGCACUCUUCCAGUUCAGGCCAGCAUCAGUUUGCCUCGGGGGAUAAAAGUAGCGGGAAUGUGGCUCCUCCGGGAGUGUUAUAGCCCGCUGCAUAAUACCCUGUGGCAGACUGAGGACCGCGCUUCGUGCAAGGAUGCUGGCGUAAUGGUCAUCAGCGACCCGUCUUGAAACACGGACCAAGGAGUCGUCUUCGUAUGCGAGUGUUCGGGUGUCAAACCCCUACGCGUAAUGAAAGUGAACGCAGGUGAGAGCUUCGGCGCAUCAUCGACCGAUCCUGAUGUUCUCGGAUGGAUUUGAGUAAGAGCAUACGGGGCCGGACCCGAAAGAAGGUGAACUAUGCCUGUGUAGGGUGAAGCCAGAGGAAACUCUGGUGGAGGCUCGCAGCGGUUCUGACGUGCAAAUCGAUCGUCAAACAUGGGCAUGGGGGCGAAAGACUAAUCG